GUGAGGAAUUUUCCGCAAUGGGCGAAAGCCUGACGGAGCAAUGCCGCGUGAAGGAUGAAGGCCUAUGGGUUGUAAACUUCUUUUCUUAGAGAAGAAUAUUGACGGUAUCUGAGGAAUAAGCAUCGGCUAACUCUGUGCCAGCAGCCGCGGUAAGACAGAGGAUGCAAGCGUUAUCCGGAAUGAUUGGGCGUAAAGCGUCUGUAGGUGGCUUCAAAAGUCUCCUGUCAAAGAUCAGGGCUUAGACCUGGGCCGGCAAGAGAAACUCUGAGGCUAGAGUUUGGUAGGCGCAGAGGGAAUUCCCGGUGGAGCGGUGAAAUGCGUAGAGAUCGGGAGGAACACCAAAGGCGAAAGCACUCUGCUGGGCCACAACUGACACUGAGAGACGAAAGCGAGGGGAGCAAAAGGGAUUAGAAACCCCUGUAGUCC
rnacentral:rRNA from 1 species